UAGCACAUGGAGGUCUGUGACUUGUGUCAGACUGGUAUGGUCUCACAUUCCUUCCUAAAUGGCAAAUAUCCCAACCCAACCGACUAUAACAGCAAAACUCCAACUAAGACUGUUUAACGUGUCCAUCUCCAACUAGGUGCCGACCAUCCCAUCAACCCAUCCUCCACCUACUGAAACUUGGAACUAUUCGUUUAACCGUGGCAACCCGCUCACUCAGCAACAGCUAUAGCAAUAGCUGUCUCAACAUUCAGCAUGGCUCCACGUACAAAACAUAUAUUCUCCUCUCUAUAUAUACAUAUGCUAGCAACUCCAAGGCAUUGAUGCUUUUCUUGCAAUUGGUGGCUCUCAUUUUCUUCUCUAUGGCUUCAUCCGAUACGGCGUCGUCUCCCUCUCCCUCUCCCUCAAUGGACACAGGUGCCGGCUAUUCUACACCGCUUUCUGCCGCUGUAAUGGGAUUCUCUAUUGUCUUCUCUCUUCUUGCUCUCUUUAAGCACUGAGCUACCAUUUCGCUCGCUCUAUUGAUUAAUGGGUUGUUAUUGUCUCGCUUUGGUUUUGCGAUUUGUGAGGGACCUGGAUUGUCAUUUUAUUCAUUCUUUCUUGUUUAUUUUCCUUUAUUUAUAUUUUUUCAUUAAACGAUGAAAUAAUGGUCAUGAUGUUAAUAAUAAUAAAAUUCCUUUUUACUAA